UACGUAGGGAGCAAGCGUUGUCCGGAAUCAUUGGGCGUAAAGCGCGCGUAGGCGGCCUCAUAAGUCCGUUGUGAAAGUCAAAGGCUCAACCUUUGAAAGCCGAUGGAUACUGUGAGGCUAGAGUACAGAAGAGGCGAGUGGAAUUCCUGGUGUAGCGGUGGAAUGCGCAGAUAUCAGGAGGAACACCAAUAGCGAAGGCAGCUCGCUGGGACGUUACUGACGCUAAGGCGCGAAAGCGUGGGGAGCGAACAGG
rnacentral:rRNA from 1 species